rnacentral:rRNA from 1 species
UACGUAGGGUGCAAGCGUUGUCCGGAAUUAUUGGGCGUAAAGAGCUCGUAGGCGGUCUGUCGCGUCGGCUGUGAAAACCCGGAGCUCAACUCCGGGCCUGCAGCCGAUACGGGCAGACUAGAGUGUGGUAGGGGAGACUGGAAUUCCUGGUGUAGCGGUGGAAUGCGCAGAUAUCAGGAGGAACACCGAUGGCGAAGGCAGGUCUCUGGGCCACUACUGACGCUGAGAAGCGAAAGCAUGGGGAGCGAACAGG